CUGGAUAAGGAUUAUUUUGCAGCUGUUCUUUUUUUCAGGAAAAAAAGAAAAAAGCAAAACCAAAAUCAAACCAACAUGCAGUAAUCAAAAUCUGCCUCCAGAAACUCCAAAAGUUUAAGCACCUUUAGCUGAUGUACCAAAAGACCCUGGAUUUCCUGUGAGGCUUGGUAACAUGAAAUGAAACUUGAUAUAAUGCAAUUGCUACCAAAGCACUAUCACUUUGUGACAUUCAGUUUCUAAGGAAAUGUGGGAAUGUGCAAUCCAUUCGUGGUAAUUUAAAUGGAAGUUUUGAUUGGAUUAUAAAGAAGGGGGAAAAAAACCCUCAAACCAACAGUUAUUUAUCUGUUACCAGACAAAGACUGUAAAGAAAUCUAAGAAGCGCAUCCCAGCACAAAAGCCUGAACUCUUUGACCUCUCAGGCCUCAGGCCUGGACAAUUGGCCAAGCUGGGCUUUUUCCUGAGAACUGCCCGAGGGCAAAGGCUGAGAAAAGAUGCACAUUGUUCCCCGCACCAUCCAUUAAAUGCAAGGACUGAAAGGCAAAAGGAACUUACCAGGUUAUAGCAGUGCUGAGAACGCAGCUUGACACUCAUUUUCAAGGUAAUGUAAUAAAGGGAAAAAGUGAGCUGUAGAGAUCUUAAUUCUUUAAAAUUUAAAAGCUAAUUUUGUGUCUUUUAGUCAAUUUCCUAUGCAGGAAGGAAGAAUUUAUUAACUGACUUCUGAUGUUAAAUGGAGUGCUAAUGGGCAAGUACAACAAUUCAACAGGUGCCAAGUAGAAAUAUAGAGACAUUAUAUCAAUAUUAAUCUUAAAGCCUUGCGAAUGCCUUGGUAGGGGGUUUUAUUAGACAGGUUGUGAUGGGAAGACCCCUGCCACCCUCAAAGUGAAAAGGGGGUUUGGGUCUCCUGUUUAAAGCAUUUGAAUGCUUGCAUUGCAAGGUAUUUUAAUGAAACAUUAGGAAUUUUGUGCCAUUGGAAAUUGCCGUUUGUUGAGAGAGGUUGUCCCAAGCUGGAAGCUCCUCUUGGAAGAGAUGCUGUGUUGCAUGCCUGUCUUGGCCUGGGCAGCAAUGCUGGAGAGCAAAAGUAUUUCCAGCAUUGAACAUUCAACUGGAAACCUGAACACCCAUUACUACUCUGGAGAGAAGUCAAAGGAAUAGUUGAACCUGCUAAAUAUCUACACAGCCACAAACUAAUCUUCUGCCAGUAAACAAAUGCUGACUGUAAUGUACUUCUGAUUUUGACCUCUGAGUUGAAAACUUUCUGUAUAAACACCAGCUGAUGAACAGGUCACUUUGCUUUUAAGACAAGACUCUCAGAGUCUCACCCCACACAGCAGGUCCCUGAUCCAGAUAAAAGACUUCAAAAUGUCCAGCAAUAACUUUCACUGAACAAUUUUUUCAUUGUUCCAAGCUGUCAAAUUAUUAGUGGGAAAGAUUAGUGGGAAAGGGAAAGUGUUUUUGUCUAACAUCUUAUUCUUGAUUUUUUCAGGUGGAAAAGUUUCGUGUUUUAUGAAGAGGGUUUGAAAAUGUCAAGAUGUAAAAAAAUUAUAAUUUUAAAAAUGACAAAGCAAAACCAAUGAAAGAUAUUUCACAGUAUAACUUUUUUUUUUUUUUUUUUUUUUUUUUUCAUUCAGCUGCACAUAUUUUCUGGUUGAAAGUGUGUUUUUUGCAGACUAAAAACUUUUUCAUUCUGUAUCAAAAACAAACAAAAAGGAAGACACAGAAAUUCCCUGGAAUAGGAGAACUAUGUGGCUCUGCUCCUCUUCAGUAAUGCAUUAAAAAUAACAAAUAGUGGAUAUUUAGCAGCACUGAAAUAAUAAUAAAAAUUUCAAUGGAAAAAGGGAGACUCAGUUAACUGGAAACCUUCUUCCCAGGGUUUUAACUCCUGUGAGAUUUACCACCAACCGUCUUAUCUGCCUGGCUCCAGUUUUUAAUAUUGUUUUUUUAAGUAGCAGAAACAACCUUUGGUAAAAGUGCCCUAGAAAUUACACACAGGUAACGAGCUAUGGCAUAAACAGAUAUAGUGAUAUCAAAGCAGCAACAGCCCCUUUUCUAAGGAAGGUUUUGCUGUGUGACAGCCACG